CUUGAUUGACAGGAGUUCACAGGUGAGAGGAGCCACCCACUCCUCACUCUGGAAGGAAGCCCAUUUCCAGGGGACUGCUGGCCUUUUCUGAGUAGGACUUGAGAGUUCAACUUUGGAGCUGUUGUCCCACGGAAGCCAGUGUGCACAUAGAAAAGUGACAGCCCCCUUGGAGAGUCUGAGGACAGUCCCUUCUCUCUGCAUCCUUCCCUUGGAGUCAGCUCAGAUAAUCUGAGGACAUAGAUCUUUCUCAUCGCCUCAUGUGACCAGAAGGAAGCCUGUUCGAGCUGUUACUUAUCUCCUUCCUGUGGGAUACUUGACAAUAUGAAGAGUUUAUUUGGGCUCACAGGUAAUAGGGGGCUUUGGAGAAAUCAAGACCACCAAUUCAUGGUGAGCAUUCAGAAGUAUUUAGAGAUCAGGGGCUAGGAAUUAAAUCUGGAGCCAGUAUGCUCAUCCAGAGCGUCACCGGUUUUCCUUUUCACUGUCUUUUCAGACAGGGUCUCAUCAAGUUGCCCAGGCUGGCUUGGAGCCCAGCUUGGUACUGAACUUGGGAUCUCCAUACCUCAGUUUCCAGACUAGUUUGGAUGACAAACCUGGUGGGCUGAUGCCAGAUUAAGUGCUGAUAUGUCUCUAUAUUUUCCAGAAAGCUUUAUAAUCCCCACUGACUGGCCCAGCUCUGUGCCUCAGCUAGAAUGUAGCAGAACCCUGCCUCAUCGGGAAGCCCAAGGAGUGAGCAGAGCCCUGCUAUUCCAGUAUUUCCUCCUGAGGCUACAGUUCCAGCACUCCAGGAGGAAGGAUGAUGUCUGGAGAGGCACAAAGGCGUUUUCUGUUCUGGGUAA
rnacentral:lncRNA from 1 species